rnacentral:rRNA from 1 species
UACGGAGGGUGCGAGCGUUGUCCGGAAUCAUUGGGCGUAAAGGGCGCGUAGGUGGCCCCUCAAGCGUGCGGUGAAAGUCAGGGGCUCAACCCCUGAUCGGCCGUGCGAACUGGGGAGCUUGAGCACUGUAGAGGCAGGCGGAAUUCCGGGUGUAGCGGUGGAAUUCGUAGAUAUUAGGAAGAACACCAGUGGCGAAGGCGGCUCACUGGUCCGGUACUGACGCUGAGGUGCGAAAGCGUGGGGAGCAAACAGG